AGUCGUUCUUGUCCUCGCCGUAUCGUAUUCCCAAUUACAGUCAAUUCAACACAAAUGCUUUAUUUAUUUUUGUAUCAAAAUGAGCUUUUAAAAAAAUUCAGUGUAACGGAAAGUUUUUGCCACAGUUGGAUACAAACUUGUCUUCCUUAAAUAAUAGAAAAUGAUGAUAUCACGGUCUAAACACCGAUCGUCGGUAGAAGUGUGUGCUGAUUGCGGAGCAUCAGAUCCGUCAUGGGCGUCCAUAAACCGCGGGCUACUUCUGUGCGCUGAGUGCUGUAGUGUACACAGAAGUAUGGGGCGACAUAUUUCUCAUGUGAAGUCUUUACGCCAAGGCUCGUGGCCACCGUCACUUUUAGCGAUGGUGCAAGCUCUCACUGCACAAAAUGUGAACUGUAUUUGGGAACAUUCUCUACUUGACACAUCAGCACCUAAACACUUACGGAAGAAACCACAAGCAAAAGAUCCAUUACAUCCAAUUAAAUCAGAGUUCAUCCAAGCUAAGCACCUCCGGCUGGCAUAUGUUUUGAGAGCUCGUCGUGAUGAACCCCCUUGUGAACUGGGUAGACAGCUCCACAGUGCUGUGAGGAGUUCUUCAUUAGACACUGCAAUGAGACUACUUGCACAAGGAGCUGACCCUAAUUAUUACAAUCAGGAAAAAGGUACUACAUGCCUACAUGUUGCAUGUAGAGCGGGACAGCCUGCCCAAGCUGAGCUGCUGGUGGCGUGGGGUGCUGAUCCCACUGCACGGGACCAUAGUGGGAAUACACCAUCAGACUGUGCCAGACAAGGCGGGCACACAGAGCUGGCGGAGCGCAUGACGGAGCUAGUGUACGAGGCGACCGACCGCAUGAUCUACUUCCUGUCGGGCGAGAAGCCCGACCACGCGGCCGGCCGCCACUAUAUCGUGCCGCGCGCGCACGACACGCACGAGAUGACCGACGUCGCAAAGGCCGCCAGGGGCAAGCUGCAGCUGCUCCCUAACCACCUUUUUGAGGAGUUGGUGAUGGAUAUCUAUGAUGAAAUCGAUCGGCGGGAAACUGAAGCGAUAUGGCAGACGAGCGCGACGGGUCUGGAGCGGAGCGGCGUGGUGUUCCUGCCGGUGAACCCGGCGCUAUCAGCGCCGCGCAACCAGGGCCGCCAGAAGCUGGCGCGGCUGUCGGCCGCCGAGCUGGCGGCGCUGCUGCGGGACGUGCUGGUGGACGCCACGCGCCGCCAGCACAUCGCCGGCCUGCAGCCGCGGGCGCCGCUCGCCCUCAGCCCGCUGCUGCCCGCCGCCCACGCUGCCCACCUCAAGCACUUCUCGCACUUGUCCGACGACGAGCCGCUCUACGACUCGGUCGCCUCCGAUGAGGACUACGCCGCGUUGGCGCCUAUAGACCUUGAUCUAUCCUGCAUAGUUCCGCGACCAGGCGAAACUGUUUCUUCCACAUACAAUGCUUCACUGCCCAUCGAGCAUUCACAAAAUAUAGAUUUCCGGAGAACGCAAUCACCCAUUAAUAUGGCACUGGGUAAUGUGCCAGAGAGAGGUGAAAUCGCAAGUCUUAAAAAGGAGUUAGACAGCAGAGAUUCCACUAUCACGGAACUUAAAAAUCAAUUAAAGAAUUUACAGACAAUAGUAGAACAGUUAACGAAAGAAAACAGUGUAUUGAAAACUAACAGUAUUGAUGAUGAUCAAAGUAUGACAUCUCAGAAUUCUGGCACUGAAAUCUCUACUAGUAAUACAUUAGAAUCCAGUUCAAAGCCACAAGAGAGAGGGCGGAGUCUAGAAUCGGAGGAACUGCGCUCGUCUGAAGAGUCAGAUUUGAAGCAAUCGUUGAAAAGCACGCAGCGCCCGGUCAGUAUGUAUGAGCCUAGGGAGGGACCAAAGAAUAACUGGCAGGUUACUAAACGUCAGCUGACGACGAUAUCGGGACUGGAGCGGUCAUUGACCCAGAGCGCGCUGGAGGAAUGCUCAGUGGGUGCGGCGGGUGCAGCGGGUGGUGUGGAGGAGCUGCCGAGUGCGGAGGCGGUGCAGCGGCGUGCCGAGGCCGUGACGCGCGCCAUCCAGGAGUUGUGGGCGGCUGCACGCGAGCCGCAGCAGCGCCACGCCGCCCGCGCCGUCCGCGCCGACUGCAUCCGCCGCGCCGUCGCCGACCUGCUCGCGCUCUUCCCGCAGCCGUGCGCGGACGGGUCGCUGGCGGCGGUGCUGAGCCAGCUGCGCGCGGCGGCGGGCGCGGUGUGCGCGGUGUGCGCGGUGUGCGGCGGCGAGGCGGCGUGCGGCGGCGAGGCGGCGCUGGGCGAGCUGCGCGCGGCCGCGUACGAGCUGGCGCGGGCCACCAAGCUGCUCGUCACGCACUUCCAGCCCUCCUAGCGCCGCGCCACCUACUACUACACCACCGUCUAGUCCGCCGCACCAGGUUACCUACGCCUCUACAUCACCUUCACCGUUUUUGACCCAGAUUUUUGACCCAACAAAUUUUUAUAAGGGGAUGAUCGCGGUUGUAACAUUGGUUGUAGCGUGACAACAAUCCACGGCAGCUGUUAGGUUGUUUGCUAACAAUUAAGUAUUUUUUUUUAGAAUACAUAUUCGUUUUGUAUGUAUACUGAGAUAUACGUAUAUCUAAAAUGAUACCUGAUAAGAAUAUUUGGAUCACAAAUAAUUGUAUCAUACGAAAAGAUUAGACACAGAUUGAGAUGGGCUUAUUCAGAAUCAAGCUUCAUUAAAAUUUAUUUAUCAAUAAAAAUAAUUAAUCAAUUCGAAAACCAGUGAUAGUAUUCAUAAAACUGAAUAAAUUCUCUCAAAAAAAAAAAAACAGAACAUGGAGCAACAUUUUUUUUAUUUUUUUUUUUUUUCUUAGUUGCGAAAGCAAAUUCUUACGAAAGGGUUCAAUAAUUAUUUGCAUAUUGGAAAUUGCUUCUGGGAAAGUUAUUCAGUUUCAUGAAGGUUCAUACCAUGCCGAAACUUGCGGCAUGGUAUACCCAUUAUUAUAAUUUUUUUUUUUUUUGCAAAAGUAAUUAUUAAUUUAAAAAAAACAUAUUUUGUCAUACAUGGUUGUGUAUCUUUAUUGUAGUAGUCAACAAAUUAUAUGCCCAGUUUUUCUGCGAACGUAAUUUUAGUUUUUUUUUAUGGAUAUUGACUGCGAGUUUUAAUUUAAAAUUAUAAAUUUGUUUAAUUUGAAUAUUACAUGUUUUAAAGGUUUGAAUGUCAUCGAUUGAAAAAAUGGCAACUGAUAGGCCUUUGCUAAAAGAAGACAAUCCUUGGAGAGACUUUAAAAGAACACAGAAUUACGUAACAUAAUGUACACGAAGUACUAAAAGUUCCGCGUCUUCUCUAUUUUCUUUCUAUUAUAUGAAACCUUAAACGAGAGUAACAUACACACAGAUGUCACGCCUGUCUCCUUUUGGGGUAGGUAGACAAUGCAACACCAAAUGUUUCGAUUCAAAGAGACCUCUUUUGCUUUACUGUAGAGUUACAUAAAAAAAAUAUGUAAAUAAUAAACUAUUGCAUAAACGUUACAAAUUAAGAGGCGUUGUUAACGAAUUAUGACAACGUCUCAAUUAUUUCUAAAUUUUCAAAACCAACGACAUUUUUUACUGUUUUUGAUUGUUUAUUUAAAAACUGCUUUGCUAGCGAACUAAAACGUUAAUUCUUGCACCUACUUAAUAUUUUGUUUCGAAAUUUUUCAAAUACAUUUUUCCACCAAAAUUUAAAUUUUCAGUGACAGCUUUACAAGAAUAUUAUUGCACGCUUAAAGUUUUAGUUCGCUAGCAGAGAACUUUUUAAACGAUCAAUCUGAAAUAUUGAAAACUUAUCAAUUGUUUUUGGAAAUUGACAGAUAAUUGCAAUGUUGCCACACUUAAACUUAUAUUUCGUAUUCCAUUGCAUAUACGUUACUUUCGUUACCAAAUAUUCGCAGUCAGCAUUCACAACAAAGCCGCUAAAAUUCAUGAUCUGUUACUUUUAUAAUUAAAAUUUAUAUUUUUUUUUGUAUCGUAAUAAACGUGGUUAAAUACGUAUUAGUAUUUUAGUGAUAUUUCGUUGUGUUCAAACUAGUUUGACGACGUGAAAAAUAAUAGGAACGUCUUCCUAAUAUAAAUAUGUCUACAAACGCAUAUACAAAUGUGAUGAGAUUAUUUUGAAUUUAAAAAUUAAAUGUCGAUUUAGACUGGUACGACACCAAACAAAUGGUUAAAAAGUAUAAAAUAUUUUAUCGCGUUAUUAUUGUGUAAUUUGAGGUUGGGUGCUAGAUAUUUCUCGCUAGUCGAUCCCAUAUGUGGCAUUUGUACAAAUAUGUUUGUACAAAUAUUUUGUUAAUAUUUCACUGUACAAAUACUUUUAUGUACAGUGAACGCUCUAUAUAAGCAACCUCUCUAUAAGCAACAUUCUUUAUAUUUUAUUUAUUCUACUCAGCUUAGUUAGUAAAAGAAUAAAGUAAAAAUAUUUUCCAGACGGUAAGUAUUUUUAUACUCCUUUUCCCCCCUAUAAGCAACUUUUCCCAAUAAGAUUUUUUUUUUUAUUAAAAGUGGUUCAAAUGAGAUGCUUUAUAUAGAGUGUUUACUGUAUUCUCAUGUUAGCAAAAAAACUAUAAGUUUUUGAAAAUACUAACUUGAACAAAAAAUAUUGUUGCAAAAAAUUAUGUGAAAUAUCUACAAGAAUAUUAGUACAAACAUAUGAGUUUACGAAGUAUCUACACGCAUGUCCGACCUCAGUGUUAGUGGAUAUAUCGCCAAUACUAAUGCAUAAUGUAGGAAUAUGCAAUGAAAAGUGAUUUAUCUCCCAUCACGUUUCAAUUCGCAUUUCAAGCUAAUUGAAAUCUUAAUCUAAGAAAUUCUCUAAUUACCUACUUAUAUAUUUUUUUUACUUACUUAUUAAGUAUAAAAUAUGAUUUAAAUUUAUUAUAAAUUAUUAUUAAAAAAUAAUACUUAUGUAGAUAACUCGAAUGAACACUUAACGCUCGGCUCGUAUGGGUAAAAGUCGAGAUGCAUUUUAAGUGACAGCGCUUGAAAAUUACCCCGGGCGGUUUAUUACAGUUUUCGUGUCUGUGGAAACCAGUUUCCAUAUUCUACUUAUCUCCAAGCUGAAAAAAAAAUUCGGCUGAUGUAUAUGAAGAAAGUGUUUUCCUUAUGUUUCAUAGCCUAGACAGGACACCAACAGAAACUUAUCGCAAUACUUAGUUUAUUCCGACUAUUCUAUGAUAUUCAUCCUUUCACCCCAAACAAAUUUGUAAUUUGUAUUGGUAAUAUUUGGUAAACUAUCACGAUUUUUCUGUUUAUCGAAAUAACAGUACAAUACAGAAAAGCUAGAAUUAAAUCAUUUUUGUUUUUUUUUAUUUAUUAUCCAUUAUUGAUUUUGUCGAUCAUAUUUUUAAAUAAAAUAUGAUAGAAUUAACUUCAAAAAAAGUUUACUAAAUUAUUCAAGUAUAGAAGCAUAUUAUAGAUAGAUCAGUGUGUAAAGCUCCGCUCUUGAAUGUUGUGAUGGUCACUCCCCCUCCCCACUCACCCUCUAAAAAGCCUAUAAACAUAGAAUAUUGCAAACUCAUACAUAUAGAGCGAUACGACUAAACGACUAACAGUAAAUAGGUACUUUGCCAAGGAGCUUUGCGCGUACCAUGUCGAUAAGUCUUCGAACGGAUAUCGAAAACGUGAUAUAAUUAUAACAAAAUAUUGUAAAGUCUCGGAUUAUCAUAAAGAAUAAUAGGUAGGUAGUAUUAAAUAUUGUAACGCUUUGCGCUUUUUGAUGUAACUAUUAAUGCAUUGCUAUAUUAUUAGGGGAAAGGGACUGUUAGUAAUAGAGACUGAGAAUCCUAUUGCUAGAAAUAUACCCAACCAGGUCGACCUCCUCGCGGAAACUAUCAUGGUUAAUUCCUGAUGAAUUCAUCAUGAUGGGCUAACUGGCCUGUUUUCAUUCUCAUCUAUCACCCUUCACUGGUGCUCCGCCAGCGUAUCCCGUUAGCGCAGGCGGGGGGUUACCAUACCAUUUUCAUCCAUCAAAAAAAUAAAAUGCAUUGCUAUUUACAAAGACAGACCUGUAAUAAACUCUUUAACAAAUUAAUAUACAUGCAUUCGAGAUAUUAAAUUAUAUGAUAGUUUUUGUGUAAGUAAAGUAUUAGUGAUUUAUAUGUAUAUUAUAUAUAAUUUAGGGGGACAAGUGAAAAUUGUUACUUACCAUAUUAUUUCAAAGAUGUAUUUCGAGGCAAGCAGGUAUUGUUACAUACCUAUACGUACCUGUAUAUAUAUAUAAGUUGUAUAUCAUUGUGGAAGUAACAAUUUUGCUAGUUUUUUUGUGACGUAAUUUAAAUUUAUUCGUUAAAUGAUUUUAAUCGAGCAAACAUAUACGAAUAAAUUAUAGUGGCACCACACAUGACUGUUCGUAUUUGAUACUUGGUCUGUCGUGCAAAAUAUUUGAUGUAAAUAUAAAAAAUUGUGAAUUUAUUUGGAUGUCUGUUAACGCUUAUAUGGUUGAAUAUAUUCUAAUGAAAUUUGGUACACAGACAGACAACAUGCUGUAGUAACUUGUAGGAUAAUUAUAUUACAGGUUACAGCUUUUAAGCACGAUUAUUAAAUACACUUGUAUGAACAGUUACGUGCAGCGCCACCGUUGUCUAGUUGUUACAUUGUUUAUUGUGAUCGUCAUUCGUUGAACACAAGUGCCAUUCGUGCUCAUUUGUCGAGCAACAAGUUAUCUCAUUUGAAUCGGUGUAAGCAUGGCUUAUUGCAGUAUUCUUUAACUUAUUAUAUAUUACGCUGUCACAAACCUUCAACAGAUCUCUUCACGCUGCAUCUACUACAUCAUUCCAAUACAAUGUGUUCUUUAUUUUUAUAUAGCCAUAAAAGUUAUAGUCGAAUGUCACACGAGGUGUAACGGUCAGAGUGUAAUAAUUCGAAACGAUGAGAUAGUAAUCGUGUAAUUCAAGUAACACGAGAUAUAAAAAUAAUUUUUAAACUUUACAAAGUAAGUAUAAUAUAAUUUCACUGAAUUUCGAAUUAUUAUUUACGUAUAUAACUAUUACUCUCGAUAAUAGAAAUCAAAACCUCCUACAAACAUAUAUUAACUAUUAAAGUGUUUUGUCACUUCCUUUCAAACUGAGAAAUCAGUGUAAAAGAAAGAGAUAAAAAACUUCAAUAGCUAGAAUAGGUUUAUUUAAUCGUUUAUCGUUUUUAUAAGGUAUUGCGUACCUAUAUUAUUAAAGGUCGAUUCACAUCAUUGCAGUUUUAAAUUUUUAUCAAUUCAUAAUCAUUGAAAUGAGGGCAUAUCAUGAAUAAUCGUACGAAUAUUAAUUGACCAUCGACCAUCGCCGUCUAGUUACAAAAGAAUAAAGACAACAUUAAACCAGAGGGAGACUUUGUACAAAAGUCGAUUGCUUGGGUACCUCUGUCCCAUUCGUGUUUCUACCGUGAAGCAGUUGUGUUUGCAUGGCUGUGUUUCGGUUUGAAGGGUGGGAUAUGGCGUGAAUUUACUGGGUACCGAGGAAUAUCAGCUGAACCCUCAGGAAUGGCAACGCAUGGGGGGUAUCGUGGGCGAAACAGUAUACUCUGUUAUGUCCAUGGUACUGCUUAUGCCUAUAGGCGACGGUUACCACUUUCCAUCAGGUGGGCCGUCAGCUUGUUUGCCAUUCUAAAUUGUAUAAAAAAAAAAAUUAAACAAUUCACCAUUUAAUUUAUAUCGCUAAAGCCGUCAAUCUUUGAAAUAACGUCUAAUAUUAAAAUAUUGUGAAAGGCCAGUUUAGCUCGAUUAUGUGAAUCGACCUUGAUAAUUCUUUAUAUUACUUUAUCUCUAAUAUCUCCUUCAAAUGAUCUAAACAGUUGUUUUAUGUAACAGAGAUUUCUCACGCUGCAUGAUGUCUAAAUUUUUUUUUUUACGAUUCCUUUCCGAGCUCUGAAUUUGUAGUGUAGGUACUAAGUAAGUUUUUAAUUAUGUUGUUUUAUUAAUAACAAAGUAUUAAUAUUUAGAAUGGAAUGGAACUAAGUCAUAUAUGAAAUAUUAAAAAUAAGAAAUUGCAGUCCUCCUGCUUUAAGAUCACGUAACGUUAUCUUGCUGUAAACAUAUCAGUAUUUAAAUCUUAAACAGAUAUUUCGUGUAAUUUCUUCUUUCUACCAGAGGGAGAUUUUGUACAAAAGUCGAUUGCUUGGGUCCCUCUAUCCCAUUCGUGUUUCAACCGUGAAGCAGUUGUGUUUGCAUAGCUGUGUUUCGGUUUGAAGGGUGGGAUAUGGCGUGAAUUUACUGGGUACAGAGGAAUAACACCUGAGUCCUCAGGAAUGGUAACGCAUGGGGGUAUCAUGGGCGAAACAGUAUACUCUGUUAUAUCCAUGGUACUACUCAUGUCUAUAGGCGACGGUUACCACUUUCCAUCAGGUGGGCCGUCAGCUUGUUUACCAUUCUAAGUUGUAUAAAAAAAAUUACAACAAAGAUUUAUCAUAAUAUAGCUAGGAACAACAAGAUUUCAAAUAGAACGAAAAAAAAUACAAGUUUAACUAUUUAGGAGCUGCGAUAUAACAGACAUUAGAUAUACGUAGACAGGAAAGGGCCUUAAACCACGGAGGCCUUAACAUCACUCAUUGCAUUGCAUUAAAGGCAAAUAUAUCUACUUAAUAUUUGUUGAAAAAUCUUUUAUAAUUUAUAAAAUAUAAUUUUAAAGACGUCAUGCAGCAUAAACGAUGAAUUCCCACAUCUAAAUAUAUAAAACAGAGGUGCUUAUAAUAAUAUUAGUUCCCUAUACAACCCAGUCGUCUACUAGAGACACAGCCAGUACACACUGAAUAUGAUAAAAAAUACGUGCCUAAAAUGUUAAAUUAUAUUCAUACAUUUGUUAGAUAGAAUUAGAUAAGUUUAACAACAUUAACUAUAUUGUAUGAGUUGUGUAGAUUUUUAUAUGAGCGUUUCAUAACUGUGUUAACCUGACUGUAAGUACCUAUACAUAUAUAUAUAUAUAUAUAUAGUUGAUAUAAUGUAAAUUUUAAUAUUGUAGUUUAUUAACUAUAUUUGUAAUAGCUUUCGUACGGAAUGUAUUUAGUAUUGAUAUACAUAUUAUGUGAUCACUUUAUGUGCCAAUGUUUACGUAAAAGACGUAGGUUAGUCUGCAAUUAUUGUUGUUGCACUUUUGGGAGUGUUUCCCCUUUGUGUUGCGGUGUUAUGGCGCUCUACAGCUAUUUUUUUUUUUUUUUAUUAUAAGUAUAUUUUGUUCUUGGCUGUUCUACAACGAUGCCUACAAUUCAUUAGGACUAAUAAUAACAAUGCUUAUCGAUGGCUUAAGUCUGACGAUGUUUCUUGGACUUGAGUUUCUAUUAUAUUCCCACUAUAAUAAUAGGCACAAGUUUGGUUUACGAUCUGUUUAAGGAACAGCCAAGACGUAAAAUAAAUGCAGGGCGCCAUAAUUCUCUUGACAAAGCGGGAAACGCAAGAUUUUCUAAUAAAACUUUGUUAUGUUUAAUAUUAACAUUGUAAUUUAAAUAAAUUUGAAGGAAAUUUAAAAUUACUAUAGAUGUGCAAAUAUCAGGUACAGAUAUUUGUCUGUUGCAGUCCGAGGUUUUUUUUUUAACCAUUCUUUGUUGUUUUUACGUGGCAAUUUCGAUUAUACUGUAAAAGUUUUUGUUCCACUGCUCGACUCUACGAGUGUGGUCAAAGUUUAAAUAUAGAAAAAAGAAUUCGAUUCAAUAAAUAAUAAACACAUACUAAUAAACCGACUAACUAAAAAUUGUUUCUACAAAAUACAUAAUUGCCUGCAACUGCAACAAUUUCUAAAAUAAUAUUUUAAACGCACCCAGUAACACGGCAUUUACAGUUUUCUAAUAAAUAAGUAGUAUAGAAAACGGACAUCACAUACAGUGCUUUAUUAUCAAAUCGGAAAUAUGACCUUCAACUUUCCAUUUGAAUUUAAUUGAAAUGUAUAACUUAAGUAUUAUUAAAGUUUAUUAUAAUUUUGACUUAA